AGGACGAACGCUGGCGGCGCGCCUAACACAUGCAAGUCGAGCGAUAACCAGGGCUUGCCCUGGGGACAGCGGCGAACGGGUGCGUAACACGUGAGCAACCUGCCCCAAAGACCGGGACAACCCGAGGAAACUCGGACUAAUACCGGAUGCCCUCACCGGGCCGCAUGGUCUGGUGAGGAAAUGGAUUCCGCUUUGGGAUGGGCUCGCGGUCUAUCAGCUUGUUGGUGGGGUAACGGCCUACCAAGGCAACGACGGAUAGCUGGUCUGAGAGGACGAUCAGCCACACUGGGACUGAGACACGGCCCAGACUCCUACGGAGGCAGCAGUGGGGAAUCUUGCGCAAUGGGGGAAACCCUGACGCAGCGACGCCGCGUGCGGGAUGAAGGCCUUCGGGUUGUAAACCGCUUUCAGCAGGACGAAUUGACGGUACCUGCAGAAGAAGGCCCGGCCAACUACGUGCCAGCAGCCGC
rnacentral:rRNA from 1 species